rnacentral:rRNA from 1 species
GACGAACGCUGGCGGCGUGCUUAACACAUGCAAGUCGAACGGAAAGGCCCUGCUUGCAGGGUGCUCGAGUGGCGAACGGGUGAGUAACACGUGGGUGAUCUGCCCCUUACUUUGGGAUAAGCCUGGGAAACUGGGUCUAAUACUGGAUAGGACCAUGCUGUAGGUGGUGUGGUGGAAAGAUUAGUUUCGGUAAGGGAUGAGCUCGCGGCCUAUCAGCUUGUUGGUGGGGUAAUGGCCUACCAAGGCGUCGACGGGUAGCCGGCCUGAGAGGGUGGACGGCCACAUUGGGACUGAGAUACGGGCCAGACUCCUACGGGAGGCAGCAGUGGGGGAUAGUGCACAAUGGGCGCAAGCCGGAUGCAGCGACGCCGCGUGGGGGAUGACGGCCUUCGGGUUGUAAACUCCUUUCAGCCAUGACGAAGCCCUUGUGGUGACGGUAGUGGUAGAAGAAGCACCGGCUAACUACGUG